GAGCUCCAACUUUUAGCCCACUGCCACAUUUGCUCAUUAGUUCAUUUGUGUUUUUUUUUUAUUUGCUUGUUUGUUGCUUUGUUUGUUUGUUUCAUUGAAUGCCUAAUAUCAUCCCACAAAGGAUUUAAGAUAACCCCCAAAUACAGAGGCCUCCAUAUUAAAAAUAGAUCAGUGAGGAAAUGGGGUAAAGGAAAUUUGAAAGUAGCAAGAAGUAUAACAGUACAAAGCCAGGAAGAGGUAAGAAGUACCUCAAAAUGCAGACCAUAAAGAGGCCAAUCUCUGUUGCAGAGUUCAGAUGACAUAUCACAUUGGGAUCACUUGAUCUCAAGACAAAAAUUCAAUUGUAUGGGGUAUGUCCUUUUAUUUCUUUUCUUUAAUCAAAUUAAGUGAGACACAAGCCCCCAAAUGACCAGGCUGAUGGGAAUCUUCAGUCUCCAUCAGCAAGGAACAUCCUAACUUCUUAGUGAUUUCCCCAAAUCAGGAAGCCUUAUCCAGGGCCCAGAAAAUGAUAGACAUUUGUGGGUUGCCCACCCAGGAUCCAUUGCCUUUUACCUUGUUCUUAACAACUCGAGAUUUUCUUUUGUAUAAUAGCAGCCAUAAGGUUUAGGUGAGAUGGAUACUGUCUUCAGGUAGGGAGGAAGGUCCUGUAGUCUAAGUCAGUUCUCAUAAUCUUAUCCCACCUGCCACUGUGCUUGGUUUGUGGUUUGCAUCAGACCAAUAACAGUGACCCUCAGGAUACUUGUUCUCUAACUGUGGGAACCAAUGGCUUCUACCCCAUAUGUGAAUCAGGAUACUGCAGCCCCACAGCUUGCAGAAGCAAUCCAAUAAACACAGAGAAGAGUCAUUCUGAGAACAAAGCUGCUACGUGGAAAAGUGAGCAGUAAAGAAAAU
rnacentral:lncRNA from 1 species